rnacentral:rRNA from 1 species
GGUUAAGUGACUAAGCGUACACGGUGGAUGCCUUGGCAGUCAGAGGCGAUGAAGGACGUAGUAACUUGCGAUAAGCCCAGAUUAGGUAGUAACAACCAUUUGAGUCUGGGAUUUCCGAAUGGGGAAACCCACUUACAUAAGUA